GCCCCUUUAGCUUAGUGGUAAAGCAGCGGUAUCGUAAACCGUAGACGUCAGUCCGAUUCUGACAAGGGGCUCAA
rnacentral:tRNA from 2 species